rnacentral:lncRNA from 1 species
UGCAUAUAUCGAGCGAUUGUGUACCAAUCGGUAACAAUUAUACUGGUUUUGGCAGAGCUACACUAGUAGAUGUGCGCUCGACUUUAGAGGAAGCUCAACGGCUCUACUCUAUGGUGAGUUUUGGCCGAUCGUAUUAGUUCUUUAGUUUUUGCAGCUUUUGCUCUCUUAUCGAGUUUCUCAUUCACAGUCUUUUGACAAGGUCAAGUCUGAGCUGAUUUGUCG